GGGGAUAAGCGGCGGAAACGCCGUCUAAUACCGCGUGACAACCCGAGGGGGCAUCCCCUUGGGUUCAAAGGAGAGAUCCGGUACCGGCUGGGCAUGCGGCGCAUUAGCUAGUUGGCGGGGCAACGGCCCACCAAGGCGACGAUGCGUAGGGGUUCUGAGAGGAAGGUCCCCCACACUGAAACUGAGACACGGUCCAGACUCCUACGGGAGGCAGCAGUGAGGAAUAUUGGUCAAUGGGCGCAAGCCUGAACCAGCCAAGUCGCGUGAGGGAAGACGGCCCUACGGGUUGUAAACCUCUUUUGCCGGGGAGCAAGCCUGAGCACGUGUGCCCAGGCGGAGAGUACCCGGAGAAAAAGCAUCGGCUAACUCCGUGCCAGCAGCCGCGGUAAUACGGAGGAUGCGAGCGUUAUCCGGAUUUAUUGGGUUUAAAGGGUGCGCAGGCGGGCUGUUAAGCCGGCGGUAAAAAUUCAGGGCUCAACCCUGUCGAGCCGUCGGAACUGGCAGUCUUGAGUGGGCGAGAAGUAUGCGGAAUGCGUGGUGUAGCGGUGAAAUGCAUAGAUAUCACGCAGAACGCCGAUUGCGAAGGCAGCAUACCGGCGCCCAACUGACGCUGAGGCACGAAAGCGUGGGGAUCGAACAGGAUUAGAUACCCUGGUAGUCCACGCAGUAAACG
rnacentral:rRNA from 1 species